rnacentral:rRNA from 1 species
CCUACGGGCGGCAGCAGUGAGGAAUAUUGGUCAAUGGACGAGAGUCUGAACCAGCCAAGUAGCGUGAAGGAUGACUGCCCUAUGGGUUGUAAACUUCUUUUAUAUGGGAAUAAAAUGUUCCACGUGUGGGAGUUUGUAUGUACCAUAUGAAUAAGGAUCGGCUAAAUCCGUGCCAGCAGCCGCGGUAAUACGGAGGGUCCGAGCGUUAUCCGGAUUUUUUUGGUUUAAGGGGAGCGUAGGUGGAUUGUUAAGUCAGUUGGUAAGGUUUGCGGCUCAACCGUAAAAUUGCAGUUGAAACUGGCAGUCUUGAGUACAGUAGAGGUGGGCGGAAUUCGUGGUGUAGCGGGGAAAUGCUUAGAUAUCACGAAGAACUCCGAUUGCGAAGGCAGCUCACUGGACUGCAACUGACACUGAGGCUCGAAAGUGUGGGUAUCAAACAGGAUUAGAUACCCGAGUAGUC